rnacentral:rRNA from 1 species
UGGGGAAUAUUGGACAAUGGACGAAAGUCUGAUCCAGCAAUACCGCGUGAGUGAUGAAGGCCUUAGGGUUGUAAAGCUCUUUCGGUAGGGAUGAAAAUGACAGUACCUACAGAAGAAGCACCGGCUAACUCCGUGCCAGCAGCCGCGGUAAUACGGAGGGUGCUAGCGUUGUUCGGAAUUACUGGGCGUAAAGAGCGCGUAGGCGGUCUUUAAAGUUGGGAGUGAAAUCCCGGGGCUUAACCCCGGAACUGCUCUCAAAACUUAAAGGCUAGAGAACGAUAGAGGAUGGUAGAAUUCCUAGUGUAGAAGUGAAAUUCUCAGAUAUUAGGAGGAAUACCGGCGGCGAAGGCGGCCAUCUGGGUCGUUUCUGACGCUGAGGCGCGAAAGCGUGGGGAGCAAACAGG